rnacentral:tRNA from 1 species
GCGGAGGUGGCGAAAUUGGCAGACGCACCAUCUUGAGGGGGUGGCGCCCUACGGGCGUACGGGUUCAAGUCCCGUUCUCCGCA